UCCUGCGAGUACAGUGGCAGACGGGUGAGUAACACGUGAACAACCUACCCUCGAGUGGGGAAUAACACCGCGAAAGCGGUGCUAAUACCGCAUAAAAUCUUUGGGUCGCAUGAGCUGAAGAUCAAAAGCGCAAGUUGCUUGAGGAGGGGUUCGCGGCUGAUUAGCUAGUUGGUGAGGUAACGGCCCACCAAGGCAACGAUCAGUAGCCGGCCUGAGAGGGCGGACGGCCACACUGGAACUGAGACACGGUCCAGACUCCUACGGGAGGCAGCAGUGGGGAAUUUUGCGCAAUGGGCGAAAGCCUGACGCAGCAACGCCGCGUGGAGGAUGAAGGCCUUCGGGUCGUAAACUCCUGUCGAUGGGGACGAAAGCCUGCAAAGGUUUGACUGUACCCGUUGAGGAAGCCACGGCUAACUCCGUGCCAGCAGCCGCGGUAAUACGGAGGUGGCAAGCGUUGUUCGGAAUUACUGGGCGUAAAAGGCGCGUAGGCGGCUUGGCAAGUCAGAUGUGAAAGCCCCGGGCUUAACUCGGGAAUUGCAUCUGAAACUGCUUUGCUUGAGUUCUGGA
rnacentral:rRNA from 1 species